rnacentral:rRNA from 1 species
GUAGUCCACGCCGUAAACGGUGGACGCUGGAUGUGGGGCCCAUUCCACGGGUUCUGUGUCGGAGCUAACGCGUUAAGCGUCCCGCCUGGGGAGUACGGCCGCAAGGCUAAAACUCAAAGAAAUUGACGGGGGCCCGCACAAGCGGCGGAGCAUGCGGAUUAAUUCGAUGCAACGCGAAGAACCUUACCUGGGCUUGACAUGUGCCUGACGACUGCAGAGAUGUGGUUUCCUUUCGGGGCAGGUUCACAGGUGGUGCAUGGUAGUCGUCAGCUCGUGUCGUGAGAUGUUGGGUUAAGUCCCGCAACGAGCGCAACCCUCGCCCUGUGUUGCCAGCGGGUUAUGCAGGGAACUCACGGGGGACCGCCGGGGUUAACUCGGA